GACGAACGCUGGCGGCGUGCUUAACACAUGCAAGUCGAACGAUGAUGCUGGAGCUUGCUCCAGUUGAUUAGUGGCGAACGGGUGAGUAACACGUGAGCAAUCUGCCCUUGACUCUGGGAUAACUGCGGGAAACUGUAGCUAAUACCGGAUACUUUCACCGGGGGGCAUCCUCUGGUGAUGAAAGAAUUUCGGUCAAGGAUGAGCUCGCGGCCUAUCAGCUUGUUGGUGAGGUAACGGCUCACCAAGGCGACGACGGGUAACCGGCCUGAGAGGGGGACCGGUAACACUGGGACUGAGACACGGCCCAGACUCCUACGGGAGGCAGCAGUAGGGAAUAUUGCACAAUGGGCGCAAGCCUGAUGCAGCAACGCCGCGUGAGGGAUGAAGGCCUUCGGGUUGUAAACCUCUUUUAGCAGGGAAGAAGCGAAAGUGACGGUACCUGCAGAAAAAGCACCGGCUAACUACGUGCCAGCCGCCGCAGUAA
rnacentral:rRNA from 1 species